ensembl:lncRNA
AAGGGACCCUUAAAGGCCAUCUGUCCCACUCCCUGUACUGAACAGGGACACCCACAGCUCCAUCAGUGCUCAGAGCCCUGUCCAGUCUGACCUUGGCAGUCUGCAGGGACGGGGCACCCACCAUCUCUCUGUACUGGGGACUGCACAUCUGGAUGCAGCACUCCAGGUGAGGUCUCACAGCACAGAGCAGAGGGUCAGGGUCCACUCCCUUACCCUGCUGGCCACAUUGCUUUGGGUGCAGCCAAGAACAUCGUUGGCUUUCUGGGCUGCGAGAGCCCAGAACUAAUUACCGAAUUACUGAUAAAUUGAUAACUGAGAGUUAUUAAACUCUCAGUCUCCAAAAUAGUUUGGUUGCAUAUAAACUGUUUAUUUUGAACUGUUCUGUUAACUCUCAAAACCCACUCAAGAAUUGUUCUGGAACUAGAAAACAUUGCAAGGAGCCUUUGAAUGAUUCAGCAGCAUGGAUGGUAUGGUUCAGGAGCCUAUGCUUAUGCCAUUCUCCUUGGAGGCAUUCAAGGCCAGGCUGGAUGUGGCUCUGGGCAGCCUGGUGGGGUGGUUGGCGACCCUGCACAUAGCAGGGGGUUGAAACUAGAGAAUAACUGUGGUCCUUUUCAACCCAGGUCAUGCUGUGAUUCUAUGAUUCUCCUGCCUAAUUUACUCAUGAAAGUUGUACUGGAGUGGAAGCUCAGUAUGAGAGAAUACCAUCAGGCAACACCAUGUCUGUGAUAUAUCUGUUGGAGUUCCAGAUGUGGAAAGGCUGAUAAACCCACUGGAUACUGUCUACUACCUUAGGGAAGUAAGGAAAAAGAAAAAGGGACUCCAAUAUAAGGGUUCUGCCAUCUUUAAUAGUAGAAAAAUGCCCUAGAGAAGAGCUCCUAAAUAGGUGGGAGAAAAUAUUUUACCAUCUGAGAUUUGAAGAUCUCUGAAAAUGAAGACACAACAGCAAUAGAUUUUCAAGGAGAAACUACCUUGAAGUAACAGAGUGUUUAAUUUAUCAAAUAAGAACAUAAUAAAAACCUAUGGCUGAAAGGUGGAAGGAGAGACAUUCAAAUGAAGAAUCAGGCAUGUAUUUUUAACCAUGUGAGCAUAUGUAACCGUAACAGAUUGCCAGGGAAAGGGAUGGAGUUCCUAAUAUUCUGUGUCUUCACAUCAUGUAUAGGCAACUUCCUGAAGAAGCACUGAUCAAGACAUUUGCCACCAAACCAAAGCCAGAAUGGAAUGUUAAUGUUCUCUGAGAAUGAUUGGAUUAGAAAACCUAACACAUCUUCAUGCCAUGAGGAUCUGCAAAGUCUUCUCUCUUAUUCCAGUGGCAUAAAGUAUGAACAUGGUCCCUCAGCAACUUUGGUGAGAUAGAAGGGAUAAAGCAAAGGCAGGAAGGAUUCAGGAAAAGAAGCAGAGUGAAAAUUUAGGAUGACAGGAAAAAAGGCUUCAUUUGAGAGAUCAGAAUCUCCCUUUCUUUCCCGUGACUGUUUCCUUGUACUCUCCUUGGCAAAACACUUAGAAGAGGUAAUGCUGAUCCUUCUUAGUAAACUAAAUAGCUCCAGAACGUAUUCACAAGCACUGAAAUCUGAUAAUCUAUAAUAUUAAACUGUGCAAAUAGGAGGAAUUUGGCUUUGGGUAUCUAGCCAUCACCCAAACCGUUAGCAAAUCUGGAAAAUUCAAGGACCCAUGCAUACUCCUUGCUUGUGGAGUUAAGGGAGUUCAAUACUGUGGACAUGGGUCAUUCUAUGCCACCUAGUCUCAGUGCCAGAGAAUUAGUUUAAGCGUGUUUAAUUUACUAGUACAGACACAAUUCUUGUUUCCUGAAGCUGUGGUAAUUACCUAAGGAGAUAUAAGCCAGUUUGAGUUAACUUACUGUAUACUUAAUAGUUUUUUGGAAAAGAUAAAGGAUUGAAGAUAAAAGUCUGGGACUUUGCUCAUGCUUGACAUUCUUCUCAGAACUCUGAAGAUAUGUACUAGACUACAAUUUUUGUUUGAAAGUCAUCUGAACAGUUUUGCAAGGUUUCAUCAUCUUGUAUUGUCUGACUGCUGGAAUACACCCACUGAAGUACGAAUCUCCCACAUUUUUUACCUGGAAAAAAUUCUGCACAACCAUUGUAAGGCCUUUUUCCCAAGGUGGCAAAAUCUUAAGCCCAGGAAAGGAAAGCAAGAUUCAUUUCCUUCAAGUGAGGAGCUCUCUGACUUCGAGCUAUCCUUAUGUGUGCUCAUCCAUGUGAGAAGAAGAGGUGAUCUACAGGGACUAUUCAAGUGAGAUUGCCCACAGUUCAUGAUGAAGGAAAUCAGUCCAUAUACUUUCUGAAUCCAACAUAUGAAGAUCAUUGCUGUUCAAACUUGGCCCUGACCUUGAGAUACGAGACCUUCCUGUGGGUUGCUGAAGGAGACCCAUAUCGAUGGCAGGAGCUGUAGAGCAUGUUGUCUUGCAGGUAGUACUCCAUAACAUGGCUCCUGGAACAUAUUCACCAAAUGUCUCUACAUCCAUAAAGGACAGCACGGAUGGAAACAUCAGGAGAUAAUGCAAAGAAGGAAACAAAAAAAA